rnacentral:rRNA from 1 species
GACGAACGCUGGCGGCGUGCUUAACACAUGCGAGUCGAACGGAAAGGCCCUUCGGGGUACUCGAGUGGCGAACGGGUGAGUAACACGUGGGUGAUCUGCCCUGCACUUUGGGAUAAGCCUGGGAAACUGGGUCUAAUACCGAAUAGGACCACGCGCUUCAUGGUGUGUGGUGGAAAGCUUUUGCGGUGUGGGAUGGGCCCGCGGCCUAUCAGCUUGUUGGUGGGGUAAUGGCCUACCAAGGCGACGACGGGUAGCCGGCCUGAGAGGGUGACCGGCCACACUGGGACUGAGAUACGGCCCAGACUCCUACGGGGGGCAGCAGUGGGGAAUAUUGCACAAUGGGCGCAAGCCUGAUGCAGCGACGCCGCGUGAGGGAUGACGGCCUUCGGGUUGUAAACCUCUUUCACCAGGGACGAAGCGUAAGUGACGGUACCUGGAGAAGAAGCACCGGCCAACUACGUG